rnacentral:rRNA from 1 species
GACGAACGCUGGCGGCGUGCCUAAUACAUGCAAGUUGAGCGCUGAAGGUUGGUACUUGUACCGACUGGAUGAGCAGCGAACGGGUGAGUAACGCGUGGGGAAUCUGCCUUUGAGCGGGGGACAACAUUUGGAAACGAAUGCUAAUACCGCAUAAAAACUUUAAACACAAGUUUUAAGUUUGAAAGAUGCAAUUGCAUCACUCAAAGAUGAUCCCGCGUUGUAUUAGCUAGUUGGUGAGGUAAAGGCUCACCAAGGCGAUGAUACAUAGCCGACCUGAGAGGGUGAUCGGCCACAUUGGGACUGAGAAACGGCCCAAACUCCUACGGGAGGCAGCAGUAGGGAAUCUUCGGCAAUGGACGAAAGUCUGACCGAGCAACGCCGCGGGAGUGAAGAAGGUUUUCGGAUCGUAAAACUCUGUUGGUAGAGAAGAACGUUGGUGAGAGUGGAAAGCUCAUCAAGUGACGGUAACUACACAGAAAGGGACGGCUAACUACGUG